rnacentral:tRNA from 1 species
CGGAGGAGUGGCUGAGUGGUUUAAGGCAGCGGUCUUGAAAACCGUCGAGUGUAACAGCUCCUAGAGUUCGAAUCUCUACUCCUCCGCCAA